GUGUGUGGACGUGCGGUGCGGCGCUCCGUGUUGUGGCUGGCUGGUUACGUAAACAAGCGUUACGUACGGUACGUGUAUAUUGCGUUCCUGGCGCAGCCACCCAACUUGAGUAUUGCCAGGCGUGGCGUCACGUCAUUGUCCUGGUAUUUCCCUUCUUAAGAAAGAUCAUUUGGCCUGUGAGGCCAGGAAACAACUCCCUUCUGACGGAAGUGUCACUAAAAUACAGACUCGUUUGCGUGCAGCCUUGGACAGCUCCUUGAUCCUCACUGUGGACGCCGCAGGCGAGGGGAGCCACCAACGUCGAUGAGCCCGGCAGUUGUUUGUUAUGGAAAACAGGCAGCUUACAAACAAGUGCCUCACACGCACUGCUCAUUCAGACCACGCACCUCCUGAAUUAUUCAUUUCUGACCGUUGGAUCCUAAUCUUAGACCACGUACCUUCUGAAUUAUUAAUUCUCGAUUAUUGGUACCUGAUGUGUCGUGUGGAGAACCAAAGUGUUUAGGAUCUUUGGUAGUGUUAACUCUGCCGCAUGGAGCGCGGGCAGAGAGAGUCUGGCUGGAGGAGUUCGGUGGAGCAAGUGUGCUGUGUGACACUUCCGCGAGUUGUCGCGCUUUCGGGGUUUGCCAGCAUGUAAUUGCGCUCGACUUGCUAUGAUAGUUUGUGAUACGGUGUCGCGGACGGAAAGCAUUAGCUGGCGCACAUCAAGAGCCCGUUUCGCCUGGUGACGGUGUCGAGAAGAAGGCGCGCCAACAUCUAGCUUCUCCAACAGCGACGGCCGACAAUGAGUGACUGUCGCCACCUCCUCGAUCGACGACUGCAAACCUUCAAUUAGCCAACAAGGAAGACUAAAAGCACGUAGAG